UCUAUCGAUCGAUAUCUUAACUGUAACCAAUUAAAAGAUUAGUGUCGUCUGCUCUUGUUUUGUUUUAAAGUUUCGGAGAAAGGGACGACGUUCAAGAUUAGGCUACAAAGAAAACGGAACGAUAACUUUUUGGGAAACGUGUGUGGCUGCACAAAAAAAAGCGUGGAAUAGUAGGCUAUAACUAAUAACAUUACAAAAAUGUGGUGGUCGUUUCGUGUUACUGAUGUCGCGACUCUCAAUGCUCUCCACGAUCUCCACUCGCUGUUUUUGGCGGGUAACCCUUUUCUAUGUGCUGAUUUGAGUCCUGAGUCAGCCAUCGUAACAAUCAGAUGUGCAGAUUUUGCUUUUGCUGAUCUGUCAUCAUCCUGGUGGUCACCUGUCAUCAGCAACAAUUUCCGUUUCAUCAUUGCUUGGAUAAUCAGCAUCCCGUUUUAUUGGAGAAACAACCGAUCUCAGUCGAGUUCCGGAUCUCUUCUUCCUCUUUCUUUAAAUCUCUUCUGUGUACAUCCAUGAGAGUGUGGGGGUAAAAUUCAAGAGGACGUCCUUUUCUCGCCUAGUGGAUUCAACUUUUCAGCGAAUGGAUGGAGGACAUGUGGAUGUCUGGCCGUAUUUCUCAGGCAUAAAGCGAAAUUGGCGGGUGGCAUCGACUCAAAUUGAAAGGAGGAGUUUUUCAACGAAGCCAAAGAAAAUACUCAAAUAGAUGGGGAAUUUUGACUUUCAGCUCACAAGGAAUAUAAGAGAAUAAAGGCGGUUGGUAACAAGCCGCACUACAGUCCACAGUCCUUCUCGGCCGUUGCCCAGGCUUUCCUAUAGACUCCACAAGACUAAAUAGGAUUUGCCUAAUCACAUAGUCAAUGGUAUUAUACACAUUUCCUUAUCAAUCAAUAUUGUGGCAAAAGAAAUAUCCCACCGAAGAUAGGUCAUAAAUUCCACACAAAAAAUUCCUUGUAAUUUUUUCCUUUCGAGCCUUUUAGCGACGUACAUAUAAAGUCAUCGCUGAUUAGCAUACUUAAUAUAAUAUUCUAGUUUUAUUUUUUUCCUUUUAUUUUUUGUCGGAGGUGGGCGCUAUAUUAGAGCUUAUACAUUUCAGGCAACAAACAGCUGGGCAACCAAACUCGUGGGUAAAAGGUCGCGCAGCGCAAACGAUUUCGGUGACAAGUCAAUAAUUGUGCUGUGGGGCGCCGGGAGAGAGCUGCCGCAUUUCAAACGUAUCUUAGCCGCCGCUCUGCUGCUGCUCCUGCUGCUGCUGCAGCUUCGCUCCUUGUUUGAACGUUCGGAGGGGACGAACUGUUUUAUGAUUAUUUUCUACUAGGCCGACUUAUCUCUAUCUCUCUCCUCUCUCUCUCUCUCUCUUUUAGUCUAUUUAGGCCCCUCUCUUAUAUUUUAUUUUUUUCUCCUCCAUGUUUGUUAUUUGGCUGAACUGCUGCUGCUGCUGCGGCGGCCAACGUUGAACGAUAAGGCAUCGCAUCAUCCGACUUAUCGUGACAAACGUCUUGCGUUCAUUUUGUAUGUGCUGUCCCCCUUAAGAUCUCGUCCUCUUUCCUUUAUGGGAUUUAAAUUGAUUUAUGGACCAUUUCGAUGAUACAGAAACAGGUGCCCGUCUUCCUGGCCAACCACUUUUUCUUUUCUUUUGUUUUGAUUUUUUCGACUUUUUCGUGGGGAUUUUGAAAAUUACCCGAAGUUUUUGAAAGUGACACUGAGAGCUAUUUCCAUCUAGCGGUCGAAUAAGUAAACAGAAUAACGCCAUCUGUUGAAAAAGAUUUUCGAAUCUUUCUUUCGCCAUCUAGCAGCGUGAAUAGCGACUGAAUGGGUAGAAGGUGCGGUAUCUCCCAACCGCCUCAACGCUCAAAAUAGAGCUGAUGUCAUGAAAAUUCGAAAGUAGGCAAAAAAAGGUAUCCCAUAUGUGAAAAAAAUAAAUAACCGCACACGCAAAUGCGAUGGCACAAUCUCAAACCACUUGAUCUGUGACAAUGAAAACCCAACGGCUAAUUUGGUUCUAUCCAAAAGUCAACGAUAAACCCGCUCAAAAUAGCGCAAACUAAGAAUCCUUGUCAACAAUAAAGAUAGUU